UGAAGCGGGAAAAGCUCAAAUUUAAAAUCUGGCGUCCUCCGGGCGUCCGAGUUGUAAUCUGGAGAAGCGUUUUCCGCGUCGGACCGUGUACAAGUCUUCUGGAACGGAGCGUCAUAGAGGGUGAGAAUCCCGUCUCUGACACGGACUACCGAUGCUUUUGUGAUGCGCUCUCGAAGAGUCGAGUUGUUUGGGAAUGCAGCUCAAAAUGGGUGGUAAAUUCCAUCUAAAGCUAAAUAUUGGCCAGAGACCGAUAGCGAACAAGUACCGUGAGGGAAAGAUGAAAAGCACUUUGGAAAGAGAGUUAAACAGUACGUGAAAUUGUUGAAAGGGAAACGCUUGAAGUCAGUCGCGUUGGCCGAGACUCAGCCUGGCUUGCCUGGUGUACUUCUCGGUUGACGGGUCAGCAUCAGUUUUGACCGUCGGAUAAAGGUUGGAGGAAUGUGGCAUCCCUCGGGAUGUGUUAUAGCCUCUGAUUCGCAUACGGCGAUUGGGACUGAGGAACUCAGCACGCCUUUAUGGUCGGGGUUCGCCCACGUAACGUGCUUAGGAUGCUGGCAUAAUGGCUUUAAGCGACCCGUCUUGAAACACGGACCAAGGAGUCUAACAUGCCCGCGAGUGUUUGGGUGUUAAACCCGAGCGCGUAAUGAAAGUGAAAGUUGAGAUCCCUGUCGUG
rnacentral:rRNA from 1 species